rnacentral:rRNA from 1 species
UACGGGGGGGGCAAGCGUUGUUCGGAAUUACUGGGCGUAAAGGGCUCGUAGGGGGCCAACUAAGUCAGACGUGAAAUCCCUCAGCUUAACUGGGGAACUGCGUCUGAUACUGGAUGGCUUGAGUUUGGGAGAGGGAUGCGGAAUUCCAGGUGUAGCGGUGAAAUGCGUAGACAUCUGGAGGAACACCGGUGGCGAAGGCGGCAUCCUGGACCAACACUGACACUGAGGAGCGAAAGCCAGGGGAGCAAACGGG